UACGGAGGGUGCAAACGUUGCUCGGAAUCAUUGGGCGUAAAGCGCACGUAGGCGGUCUGUUAAGUCGGAUGUGAAAGCCCUCGGCUCAACCGAGGAAGUGCAUACGAAACUGGCGGACUUGAAUAUGGAAGAGGGUCGCGGAAUUCCCGGUGUAGAGGUGAAAUUCGUAGAUAUCGGGAGGAACACCAGUGGCGAAGGCGGUGACCUGGGCCAAUAUUGACGCUGAGGUGCGAAAGCGUGGGGAGCAAACAGG
rnacentral:rRNA from 1 species